CUUUUAACAUCGUAAUGUCCAACGCACCUUGUUCGUGUUGUUCCGUGUAAUUCUAAUUUAAACUAUUGGUUGAUUACUAUUUUUGUUUCAGGUGCCCCAACCAACCUUCUUAUCAAGCCUCUCUUCCACCGCUACCACCUCUUAGCAAGCCUCUGGUGGGACGGGUUCAUCCUCUGUGCUGAGACUUAAUUAUGAUAUGCCACAGCAACGUCAGCCCCAAGUAUUGGCUGAGGUGGAGUCAACUUUAGCAGCCGUGAUGCAGCAUCGUAAUGCACAGUACGUAAGUCUUGUUUGUGUGUGUAUGUACUUGUAACAGUAUAUUGUUCAUAUGUUGCGUUUGUUUCUAGAAAGUCUGUCAUUUACCAGUUUGAAACGGCACUGGGUUCAUUCCAUUAACUGGCGUAGGACCACGUGGUGUCACAUGCUUUUAUUGCCAGAUCUAACCUAAGCCAUGCACAUGUUGGAUUAUUUGUUGCACAUGCAGCCCAGCUCCAGUCAGUCUGUGAAGAUGUCAUGGUCAGUUCUUUACAGGUCUGUGUGGUAGUUGGUUGUUUAGGCUAUAGACUUGUUCACAUUUGUGUCACGGUGGACAUGAGUGAAAGACUCAACGCUGAUAAUAUUUCAUCUUCUAUAUUUGCAUAAAUCAAAUUUAAACCUUGUUUUUUUUCACCCAAUGGUUGGUGUCAGCACAACAGAGCUAAGAUUUGACAUUUACUUGGUUUAUUCUAGUUCAUUAACUCUGAAAACAUUUAAAAAUCACACUCCUGCUGUGGACCCGUUUUUGUGGGGAGUACCAAGAUCAUAAGGCGCAUAAACCAACCUCAUGUUAAGCCAACACCUCCGUCUCUUGCAGAGGAGCUCAGCAAUGGGGAAAUCUACAGAUACUGCGCCCUACAGAACCUCGCAGCGCAGAUGAAGGCACUCCCUAAAGUUGUGGGCUGUGAGCUGCCACCUACUCGGGAUUUGCUGGUUAUAGACGGACAUGGAUCUACUCUGCAGCUUGCAUUAUUACACGCCAAGUGUGUGUUUCACUGUUUGAUAAAGGGAAGGGAACAAACUCAAUACUUGGUGGAGAAAACGUUGGCUGCAAUACAUCUGAAUCUGAACUGUGAUAAAGAAAAAUAACGUGACAGCGGAUGAAGUUUGUUCCCGAGAACAGGAAAAAAAAACAGUUGUGAUUCUGAUGUUGGUAAUAACAUGAGAUGUAUUCAUUAGGUAAUACUACAGAAAAUGUCUUAUUACCAAUAUGUUUCUUCAUAGUGUGAAUUUGAGGUUUGACUUGGAGUUUUGACAUGCUGCAUUUUUCACGCAGUCACUUUGGUUUUGACAUUAAUUUUGUCGAUUUGAUUCUGCUUCAAACAAAAGCUUUAAGAUUUGACCAAGAAUGGGUUUAGGUUUAUUGAAGACAUUUACACAGACACGUCUACUGAAGAAGAGGCAUAACUGUACUGUGGCUAAAUGUACAAUAGUACCAGUAGUUCCACUCCUCUAUUGUAGCUUUGACUUGUCUGUAGUUACAUUUCAAGUUUUCAUACAACAUUUGUUCUUCUUUAAAUGUUCUUUGUUUUUCUGGAAGUCCUGAUGAGAUUUGUACAAGCAGACUUGAAGCUACAGUACAACGUCUUAAUUUACGGAAGCCAACUGUGCGGCUCUUCUACUACUUUGUUAUUGAGUGUGCUCGCUUUCUCCGUCACCUCCUGGUUUAAUUCCAUUAGCCUGCAAAGAAAGAAAUCUGUCGGGACCCCUCACAUCCUAAGUCCCAUGUUCCAGUGGCUCCCAUCAGGACACAGACUCCCUGAUGCAGGACCCAAAUAGGAGAAACCCUGUAAUCCCAGCAGUAGUUAUCCAUCAGAAUGCUGUCCUGUACAAUGACGCUUUUAAUUGAUCUUAUUAGUAAUAUUAAUUUUCCUGGAUGCUUGCUUUACCUUAAUGGCCUUCAGGGAUAAAUAAUAGAGAUAAAGUGUUUUGAAUUGAAUUGAUCAAUACAUUAUAAAUACCUGAAAUACUUAUGUACAUAUUAUUCAAAGAAAUAAAUUAAAAACAAAUCUAUGUUGUGAAGUUCACAUGUGAAAAUAUGUCAGUUGUAUAAAAAACAUUUUGCCGUUUUCGCUCACGCACGUCAGCGCGUGCGUCAGUCAAUGUCAUGGUAACAACAAACGCUUGGCCCGACCGAGUCUAUAUAAGGCGCGCAGUCACGGGGGUUCCCCGUUUGCAGUUGGACACUGACGUUUAGAGACGCAAGCAACGACAGAUGGGUAGUGAAUUCCGUGUAAAUUUCAAUAUUUAUCACUUAAAUGGCCUGAAUUGUUUGGAAUGAAUAAAGGACAUAUGUACGAUACAUCUAUUGUAUGUGUAUUUAUGUGUUUAUUGACAACGUAACUUGUCAUUUUGGUCAAAAUUUAAAAAUAUUCAUAUUUUUAAAAUGGCGACUGCACCGACUGUAAACUCCCGCAGCGCUCCAGCCCUUUUCGGUAUCUGCAGCCUUAAAUAUUAUCGCCUAAGGUUAUUUAAUUUAGUUAAAUCUACCGUAUAGACACGUUGUUGGACUUUGCUAACGGAUCAUUCUGUUGCCAGUUUAGCAAUUAAAUCUGUGCAAGUGUGAUCUGGAAAUGCAGGCACAAUAUUACAGUUUUUCUCAGUCGCUUUAGUUCAAUUCUUAGAACAGAAUUGAAGUUUGCAAAUAUGUGUGUGCAUUUCUCAAAACAAUUUGUACAAACAGCCAAACACUGGAUGUCUUGCAACAGCCUGUAACUUGCUCAAAAUCUUUAGUUCAUCUCUUCAUCGCAUUGCCAUCAGAAUGUCAAGUCCUUGUGUCAUUGUCUAUGAACAAGACAGUCAAAUUACUUAAUCAUGUUGUCAAUAAAACUGUGUACUUUACAGUCUUUCUCAGUCGCUUUCGUACAAUUCUCAGAUCAGAGUGAAAUUCUCAAAACUAUUUGUUCAAUCUUCACAUCAAGCAGUUUCUCUUUUUUCUCUUUUUUUCACUUUGAACCAGUUGCAAAUGCUUUGGUACAUCCAUUCAAAUGAUUCUGCGCAAUUCCCAGCUCUUUGCUACAUUAUCAAUUGUUUAUGUCAUGUUGAUCAAAAUGUAUUAUAUAGUUCACUGCGCAAUAGUCUUACUCCUCAAAACAUCUAGUCAUUAGUUCAUCGUAUAAAUCAUUAACUGCAAAAUGGUUGACCGAGUUGUCAUAAUGUGACAAAUAUAUUUCUGUACAUCUCCAUUAUAUGUUUCUUUCUAAAUCUGUCCUGAUUUGGUAAAUUGCUCUCAGGUGACUUGACUUUCUCUAACAAAGGUGCAUCUCCUUAACCGUCAACUGGCAAGUAUAUAUAUGGGUGAAGCACAACACUAUGUUCUAUGUCUGACAAUGGUGUGCUUACACAUCACAAACUCUCUACAGAGAUCUCAUCCCUGAAGAAGAGAGGGGUCGGAGUGGAGAUCACCCGCCAAAGUAUGUGAUAGUUUGGGACAAUGUGCCCCAACCAACCUUCUUAUCAAGCCUCUCUUCCACCGCUACCACCUCUUAGCAAGCCUCUGGUGGGACGGGUUCAUCCUCUGUGCUGAGACUUAAUUAUGAUAUGCCACAGCAACGUCAGCCCCAAGUAUUGGCUGAGGUGGAGUCAACUUUAGCAGCCGUGAUGCAGCAUCGUAAUGCACAAUACUGCGCCCUACAGAACCUCGCAGCGCAGAUGAAGGCACUCCCUAAAAGUUGUGGGCUGUGAGCUGCCACCUACUCGGGAUUUGCUGGUUAUAGACGGACAUGGAUCUUACUCUGCAGCUUGCAUUAUUACACGCCAAGUGUGUGUUUCACUGUUUGAUAAAGGGAAGGGAACAAACUCAAUACUUGGUGGAGAGAAAACGUUGGCUGCAAUACAUCUGAAUCUGAACUGUGAUAAAGAAAAAUAACGUGACAGCGGAUGAAGUUUGUUCCCGAGAACAGGAAAAAAAAACAGUUGUGAUUCUGAUGUUGGUAAUAACAUGAGAUGUAUUCAUUAGGUAAUACUACAGAAAAUGUCUUAUUACCAAUAUGUUUCUUCAUAGUGUGAAUUUGAGGUUUGACUUGGAGUUUUGACAAGCUGCAUUUUUCACGCAGUCACUUUGGUUUUGACAUUAAUUUUGUCGAUUUGAUUCUGCUUCAAACAAAAGCUCUAAGAUUUGACCAAGAAUGGGUUUAGGUUUAUUGAAGACAUUUACACAGACACGUCUACUGAAGAAGAGGCAUAACUGUACUGUGGCUAAAUGUACAAUAGUACCAGUAGUUCCACUCCUCUAUUGUAGCUUUGACUUGUCUGUAGUUACAUUUCAAGUUUUCAUACAACAUUUGUUCUUCUUUAAAUGUUCUUUGUUUUUCUGGAAGUCCUGAUGAGAUUUGUACAAGCAGACUUGAAGCUACAGUACAACGUCUUAAUUUACGGAAGCCAACUGUGCGGCUCUUCUACUACUUUGUUAUUGAGUGUGCUCGCUUUCUCCGUCACCUCCUGGUUUAAUUCCAUUAGCCUGCAAAGAAAGAAAUCUGUCGGGACCCCUCACAUCCUAAGUCCCAUGUUCCAGUGGCUCCCAUCAGGACACAGACUCCCUGAUGCAGGACCCAAAUAGGAGAAACCCUGUAAUCCCAGCAGUAGUUAUCCAUCAGAAUGCUGUCCUGUACAAUGACGCUUUUAAUUGAUCUUAUUAGUAAUAUUAAUUUUCCUGGAUGCUUGCUUUACCUUAAUGGCCUUCAGGGAUAAAUAAUAGAGAUAAAGUGUUUUGAAUUGAAUUGAUCAAUACAUUAUAAAUACCUGAAAUACUUAUGUACAUAUUAUUCAAAGAAAUAAAUUAAAAACAAAUCUAUGUUGUGAAGUUCACAUGUGAAAAUAUGUCAGUUGUAUAAAAAACAUUUUGCCGUUUUCGCUCACGCACGUCAGCGCGUGCGUCAGUCACUGUCAUGGUAACACAAACGCUUGGCCCGACCGAGUCUAUAUAAGGCGCGCAGUCACGGGGGUUCCCCGUUUGCAGUUGGACACCGACGUUUAGAGACGCAAGCAACGGCAGAUGGGUAGUGAAUUCCGUGUAAAUUUUAAUAUUUAUCACUUAAAUGGCCUAAAUUGUUUGGAAUGAAUAAAGGAUAUAUGUACGAUACAUCUAUUGUAUGUGUAUUUAUGUGUUUAUUGACAACGUAACUUGUCAUUUUGGUCAAAAGUUUAAAAUAUUCAUAUUUUUAAAAUGGCGACUGCACCGACUGUAAACUCCCGCAGCGCUCCUGCCCUUUUCGGUAGUUGCAGCCUUAAAUAUUAUCGCCUAAGGUUAUUUAAUUUAGUUAAAUCUACCGUAUAGACACGUUGUUGGACUUUGCUAACGGAUCAUUCUGUUGCCAGUUUAGCAAUUAAAUCUGUGCAAGUGUGAUCUGGAAAUGCAGGCACAAUAUUACAGUUUUUCUCAGUCGCUUUAGUUCAAUUCUUAGAACAGAAUUGAAGUUUGCAAAUAUGUGUGUGCAUUUCUCAAAACAAUUUGUACAAACAGCCAAACACUGGAUUCCUUGCAACAGCCUGUAACUUGCUCAAAAUCUUUAGUUCAUCUCUUCAUCGCAUUGCCAUCAGAAUGUCAAGUCCUUGUGUCAUUGUCUAUGAACAAGACAGUCAAAUUACUUAAUCAUGUUGUCAAUAAAACUGUGUACUUUACAGUCUUUCUCAGUCGCUUUCGUACAAUUCUCAGAUCAGAGUGAAAUUCUCAAAACUAUUUGUUCAAUCUUCACAUCAAGCAGUUUCUCUUUUUUCUCUUUUUUUCACUUUGAACCAGUUGCAAAUGCUUUGGUACAUCCAUUCAAAUGAUUCUGCGCAAUUCCCAGCUCUUUGCUACAUUAUCAAUUGUUUAUGUCAUGUUGAUCAAAAUGUAUUAUAUAGUUCACUGCGCAAUAGUCUUACUCCUCAAAACAUCUAGUCAUUAGUUCAUCGUAUAAAUCAUUAACUGCAAAAUGGUUGACCGAGUUGUCAUAAUGUGACAAAUAUAUUUCUGUACAUCUCCAUUAUAUGUUUCUUUCUAAAUCUGUCCUGAUUUGGUAAAUUGCUCUCAGGUGACUUGACUUUCUCUAACAAAGGUGCAUCUCCUUAACCAUCAACUGGCAAGUAUAUAUAUGGGUGAAGCACAACACAAUGUUCUAUGUCUGACAAUGGUGUGCUUACACAUCACAAACUCUCUACAGAGAUCUCAUCCCUGAAGAAGAGAGGGGUCGGAGUGGAGAUCACCCGCCAAAGUAUGUGAUAGUUUGGGACAAUAUUGUGCGCACGUCACCAGAAACUGUUGUCACGCCUACCUGGUUGGCUCCUCUACUCUGUCAAUCACAUUAUAAGCGCUGCUGAUUGGUUCAGUUACCUGCUCAGGUUUAUAUGCACACUUGUACCGUUUGUCCAGUAUUGCGAUAAGGGCGAAAAUAAGGAAGUGUGUUCAGAACCGAAGCAAAUUACUGGAUGAAAAGAAUCUGGGGAGCUGUGGAGUGCAGACACAGAAACCUACAUCUACAUGCAGGCCAAUAAAACGAGAAGAUAAAAGUCCAAGCUGGCUUCAGUAGUUUCGUACGGUCAGGGAGAGAGGCUGCAAUGAAGAGCGUUACACUAACGGGUUCACUGAAGAAAUGGAACUGAUGGUCACACAGAUUUAUGGAGGCAGACAUCCAAACCUAGAUUGGACCUCCAGGAGAGACGAGUGUGGCCACUGGGACGUGCGCAUUUAUGGACUUAAAGGUGCCCCAACCAACCUUCUUAUCAAGCCUCUCUUCCACCGCUACCACCUCUUAGCAAGCCUCUGGUGGGACGGGUUCAUCCUCUGUGCUGAGACUUAAUUAUGAUAUGCCACAGCAACGUCAGCCCCAAGUAUUGGCUGAGGUGGAGUCAACUUUAGCAGCAGUGAUGCAGCAUCAUAAUGCACAUUCAUUAACUCUGAAAACAUUUAAAAAUCACACUCCCGCUGUGGACCCGUUUUUGUGGGGAGUACCAAGAUCAUAAGGCGCAUAAACCAACCUCAUGUUAAGCCAACACCUCCGUCUCUUGCAGAGGAGCUCAGCAAUGGGGAAAUCUACAGGUCAGCAAGAAAGCAAAAGCUCAGUCCCAGCCAUCAUGUUGUGAAGACUUACUUUGGAACAUUUAAGAUGCUGCGUGUGUCCUUUCUUUUCUUCCAGAUACUGCGCCCUACAGAACCUCGCAGCGCAGAUGAAGGCACUCCCUAAAGUUGUGGGCUGUGAGCUGCCACCUACUCGGGAUUUGCUGGUUAUAGACGGACAUGGAUCUACUCUGCAGCUUGCAUUAUUACACGCCAAGUGUGUGUUUCACUGUUUGAUAAAGGGAAGGGAACAAACUCAAUACUUGGUGGAGAAAACGUUGGCUGCAAUACAUCUGAAUCUGAACUGUGAUAAAGAAAAAUAACGUGACAGCGGAUGAAGUUUGUUCCCGAGAACAGGAAAAAAAAAACAGUUGUGAUUCUGAUGUUGGUAAUAACAUGAGAUGUAUUCAUUAGGUAAUACUACAGAAAAUGUCUUAUUACCAAUAUGUUUCUUCAUAGUGUGAAUUUGAGGUUUGACUUGGAGUUUUGACAUGCUGCAUUUUUCACGCAGUCACUUUGGUUUUGACAUUAAUUUUGUCGAUUUGAUUCUGCUUCAAACAAAAGCUCUAAGAUUUGACCAAGAAUGGGUUUAGGUUUAUUGAAGACAUUUACACAGACACGUCUACUGAAGAAGAGGCAUAACUGUACUGUGGCUAAAUGUACAAUAGUACCAGUAGUUCCACUCCUCUAUUGUAGCUUUGACUUGUCUGUAGUUACAUUUCAAGUUUUCAUACAACAUUUGUUCUUCUUUAAAUGUUCUUUGUUUUUCUGGAAGUCCUGAUGAGAUUUGUACAAGCAGACUUGAAGCUACAGUACAACGUCUUAAUUUACGGAAGCCAACUGUGCGGCUCUUCUACUACUUUGUUAUUGAGUGUGCUCGCUUUCUCCGUCACCUCCCGGUUUAAUUCCAUUAGCCUGCAAAGAAAGAAAUCUGUCGGGACCCCUCACAUCCUAAGUCCCAUGUUCCAGUGGCUCCCAUCAGGACACAGACUCCCUGAUGCAGGACCCAAAUAGGAGAAAUCCUGUAAUCCCAGCAGUAGUUAUCCAUCAGAAUGCUGUCCUGUACAAUGACGCUUUUAAUUGAUCUUAUUAGUAAUAUUAAUUUUCCUGGAUGCUUGCUUUACCUUAAUGGCCUUCAGGGAUAAAUAAUAGAGAUAAAGUGUUUUGAAUUGAAUUGAUCAAUACAUUAUAAAUACCUGAAAUACUUAUGUACAUAUUAUUCAAAGAAAUAAAUUAAAAACAAAUCUAUGUUGUGAAGUUCACAUGUGAAAAUAUGUCCGUUGUAUAAAAAAACAUUUUGCCGUUUUCGCUCACGCACGUCAGCGCGUGCGUCAGUCAAUGUCAUGGUAACAACAAACGCUUGGCCCGACCGAGUCUAUAUAAGGCGCGCAGUCACGGGGGUUCCCCGUUUGCAGUUGGACACUGACGUUUAGAGACGCAAGCAACGACAGAUGGGUAGUGAAUUCCGUGUAAAUUUCAAUAUUUAUCACUUAAAUGGCCUGAAUUGUUUGGAAUGAAUAAAGGACAUAUGUACGAUACAUCUAUUGUAUGUGUAUUUAUGUGUUUAUUGACAACGUAACUUGUCAUUUUGGUCAAAAUUUAAAAAUAUUCAUAUUUUUAAAAUGGCGACUGCACCGACUGUAAACUCCCGCAGCGCUCCAGCCCUUUUCGGUAUCUGCAGCCUUAAAUAUUAUCGCCUAAGGUUAUUUAAUUUAGUUCAAUGUAAAUCUACCUAUAGACACAUGGCCAUUGUUGGACUUCGCUAACGGAUCAUUCUGUUGCAAUUAAAGUGUCGGGAGUGGAGCAGUG